rnacentral:rRNA from 1 species
GCUUACGGCCACACCGGCCUGAGUACGCCUGAUCCGAUCUCGGAAGCUAAGCAGGGUCGGGCCUGGUUAGUACUUGGAUGGGAGACCGCCUGGGAAUACCAGGUGCUGUAAGCU